rnacentral:rRNA from 1 species
GGAAGAUCGGUAACGGUUGGAGCUGACUGGUACUAAUAGGCCGAGGACUUGUU